AAUCGAAAGUAUUAAGAAAAUGAAAUUGUUGAUGCUCAAGAAGCAAGAAAACUACAAAAAAACAAUAACUUAGGUAUUCAAGGAACCCAGAACAAAAUUCUCAUAAAAAGUGAAAAUCUUAGCUUAAUGAUCUGCCGAAGACUAACAUCUCAGUCUAAUUACCUGCUUGGAUGUUGUUACAAGUGUAAAAGUUAAAAACUGGUACAUAAACUGUUUGACUAACAAGGACAAACAGAAUAAGCUGGAAGGUUCCAAGCAUUCUUGCCUGAAUAAUGACCAAGUUGCAAGCCAGCUAAUCUGUAUUCAGCGCUUCUUUUUCGCAGCAUUGGACUUUGAAGGGCUCGCAAUCAGGUAGACAAAUAGAACCACAAUUGAGAUCACAGAAAUCAAGGAACCAUAUUUCGCCAUCAAUUUCUUUGCCCAGUCAAACUUCUUCUCCGGGGGCCUAUCAGCUAGUAUGUCAAGAGGGAGGAUUGGAGUUGAGAAUGCCUCCUGUAGAGCAGCCUUAGUGGGAAUACGGAAUGUUAUGACCGCUGGUGCCCCAUAAAACACUGUUUUUUUCUUAGCUUCCAACUCAAAGGAAUGGGAGAGAGAAGCCCCAGCGUCCAGCCUUUCCCACGACAUGGAUGUGUUACCAGCGACAAUUUCAAAUACAUCUUGAGACCAGUUAUCAUCAUAAAGACUCACAUCGUAUGCCGUCGCAGAUCCUUCGUUGUAGAUGUCGAUGGAGAUGGAAAUCCGUUCGAUGUCGGAUUUGAGUCGAGUAAGAGCGGCCUUCUUGUGUGCGACAAUAAAUGGCCCGUCGGAGGCUGCGAUUGUCCAUGAGAAACAUAAUAGAGCUAAUACGGUAGCUAGAAGGAACUUCCUCGCACAAUCCGCCAUGCUUGCUUAACAGAUACAGAUACAGAUUCAGAUUCAA
rnacentral:misc_RNA from 1 species